rnacentral:rRNA from 1 species
UACAGAGGUCUCAAGCGUUGUUCGGAUUCAUUGGGCGUAAAGGGUGCGUAGGCGGCGCGGUAAGUCGGGUGUGAAAUCUUGGAGCUUAACUCCGAAACUGCAUUCGAUACUGCCGUGCUUGAGGACUGGAGAGGAGACUGGAAUUUACGGUGUAGCGGUGAAAUGCGUAGAUAUCGUAAGGAAGACCAGUGGCGUAGGCGGGUCUCUGGACAGUUCCUGACACUGAGGCACGAAGGCCAGGGGAGCAAACGGG